rnacentral:rRNA from 1 species
UACGGAGGGGGCUAGCGUUGUUCGGAAUUACUGGGCGUAAAGCGCACGCAGGCGGUGCGAUCAGUCGGAUGUGAAAUCCCAGGGCUCAACCCUGGAAUUGCAUUCGAUACUGUCGCGCUGGAGGACGGAAGAGGAGAGUGGAAUUCCCAGUGUAGAGGUGAAAUUCGUAGAUAUUGGGAAGAACACCAGUGGCGAAGGCGGCUCUCUGGUCCGUUACUGACGCUGAGGUGCGAAAGCGUGGGGAGCAAACAGG